rnacentral:rRNA from 1 species
AACCUUACCAGCCCUUGACAUGUCCAGGACCGGUCGCAGAGAUGUGACCUUCUCUUCGGAGCCUGGAGCACAGGUGCUGCAUGGCUGUCGUCAGCUCGUGUCGUGAGAUGUUGGGUUAAGUCCCGCAACGAGCGCAACCCCCGUCCUUAGUUGCUACCAUUUAGUUGAGCACUCUAAGGAGACUGCCGGUGAUAAGCCGCGAGGAAGGUGGGGAUGACGUCAAGUCCUCAUGGCCCUUACGGGCUGGGCUACACACGUGCUACAAUGGCGGUGACAAUGGGAUGCUAAGGGGUGACCCUUCGCAAAUCUCAAAAAGCCGUCUCAGUUCGGAUUGGGCUCUGCAACUCGAGCCCAUGAAGUUGGAAUCGCUAGUAAUCGUGGAUCAGCACGCCACGGUGAAUA